rnacentral:tRNA from 1 species
UGCCUGAUAGUAUAAGGGUAGUACAUCAGUCUCUGGAUCUGAGUGUCUUGGUUCGAAUCCAGGUCAGGCAA